rnacentral:rRNA from 1 species
AGAAUCAACGCUGGCGGCGUGCCUAACACAUGCAAGUCGCACGAGAAAGGGGAGCAAUCCCUGAGUAAAGUGGCGCACGGGUGAGUAACACGUGAAUCAUCUACCUCCGAGUGGGGAAUAACCUAGAGAAAUCUGGGCUAAUACCGCAUAACACUUACGAGUCAAAGCAGCAAUGCGCUUGGAGAGGAGUUCGCGGCCGAUUAGUUAGUUGGCGGGGUAAUGGCCCACCAAGACGAUGAUCGGUAUCCGGCCUGAGAGGGCGCACGGACACACUGGAACUGAAACACGGUCCAGACUCCUACGGAGGCAGCAGUGGGGAAUUUUGCGCAAUGGGGGAAACCCUGACGCAGCAACGCCGCGUGGAGGAUGAAAUAUCUUGGUAUGUAAACUCCUUUCGAUGGGGAAGAUUAUGACGGUACCCAUAGAAGAAGCCCGGCUAACUUCGCGCCAGCAGCCGC